UACGUAGGGGGCAAGCGUUAAUCGGAAUUACUGGGCGUAAAGCGUGCGCAGGCGGUUCGCUAAGACAGAUGUGAAAUCCCCGGGCUUAACCUGGGAACUGCAUUUGUGACUGGCGGGCUAGAGUAUGGCAGAGGGGGGUAGAAUUCCACGUGUAGCAGUGAAAUGCGUAGAGAUGUGGAGGAAUACCGAUGGCGAAGGCAGCCCCCUGGGCCAAUACUGACGCUCAUGCACGAAAGCGUGGGGAGCAAACAGG
rnacentral:rRNA from 1 species